rnacentral:rRNA from 1 species
AACGAACGCUGGCGGCAUGCCUAACACAUGCGAGUCGAACGAGACCUUCGGGUCUAGUGGCGCACGGGUGCGUAACGCGUGGGAACCUGCCCUUAGGUUCGGAAUAACUCCCCGAAAGGGGUGCUAAUACCGGAUAAUGUCUUCGGACCAAAGAUUUAUCGCCUUUGGAUGGGCCCGCGUUGGAUUAGCUAGUUGGUAAGGUAAAAGCCUACCAAGGCGACGAUCCAUAGCUGGUCUGAGAGGAUGAUCAGCCACACUGGGACUGAGACACGGCCCAGACUCCUACGGGAGGCAGCAGUGGGGAAUAUUGGACAAUGGGCGAAAGCCUGAUCCAGCAAUGCCGCGUGAGUGAUGAAGGCCUUAGGGUUGUAAAGCUCUUUUACCCGGGAUGAUAAUGACAGUACCGGGAGAAUAAGCGCCGGCUAACUCCGUG